UAAUCUGAAGCUGGCUGAUACCCAGAAUGACUCAUUUGUUAGCAAGGAGCCAUCAUAGAAACUCCACUUGGAAUUCCCUUUUCACCAGAUCACAUGUGAUUUUUGGAGUCUCAUUUGGAUGCUGUUUACUACAAAGAUCCAUGACAACUUUGUCACAUUUGCUUAACCUAGGAAUAGAUGAAAAGUUGCAGUUCAAAAAGGAAUAGGGCCGGGGGUUUAGCCCAGUGGUUCUGCCUCCUGCCUCACGAGCACAAAGUCCUGAGUUUGGUACCCCAAAAAAGGAAUGGAUGAAAAGUUGCAGUUCAAAUUCUGACAUAUUUUCUUUUCAAUUCUCUCCUCAUUUUGCUCCUCUUCCCGAAUAUGAAGACAAUGGUUAGGAAAGCUCACUGAAAGAACUACAAAACUAUACACUGAAAACAAGGUAUUCGCACGAUGAGAUAACACGCCUAUUUUCUUUCACUACCCUAAACCGGCAAAGCUCUGAUUAAGCCACCUGUACCCGAGGCUGGCGACUGAGCAGCAGAGAAACUGACCCGCGUCUCCAUGGCGACGCGUCAUAAAGCUGCAGUGCAGCCUGCUGGGCAAACUCAUGCUGGAACCGCAGCUCGGCUCAAGACUGUCUCUUCCGGGCAGGAUGCCGGUCGAGCCCAAGACUCCAUGCCCCUCUCAAUGUGACCGCAUGCUCCAACCAACAGGUGAUGCCAACUGGGAUUCCUAUGCUACCACAAUGAAGACGGCAUUCACAUAUAAAACAGGAGCAGUACCAGCUUUAAUUCGUCAAAAAAGUAUCAAAAGAUUAGGAUAUACAUACUCUCUUAGUGAUUCUACUCUUAAUCAGACCCAGUACAAUGAUGAAUAUAUUUGGAAAUCAUACUCUAAAGGAAAUUUGAUAAAAAAUGAGACUUCACGAGAAAUGAAGAGCUACAAAUCACAUCCCAAUCAAGGACUUCAAUGGACAUUACCUAAAGGGGAUUCAGUGAUGACACCAAGAAGCUGCCUCCCUUGGAAAAUUCCUGCUUCCAUGGAAGAAAUUCAGAAGGCAAUUGCAGAUCAGUUUAUUUCUUGUACUAAGAGAGACUUUCUGGACCACACCAAAGCUCAGGAGAUUAAGCAAAGUUCUCAGGUGUCCCUGGAAUGGAAAAAGUUCCUUCCCCGACCUCUAGACACUGAAUUUCGACAGAAUUAUCAAAUUCCAGCUAAAAUUCCAGAGUUGCAGGAUUUUAGUUUCAAAUAUGGAUGCUUCUCAAGACUGCCAAUUGCUUCUCAGGGUCUAGGUGAGUACACAUUUAGUAUUUAAACAACUUUGUAGAUUCUACUGAUACCCACCUAGCAGGGGCUCACUGCCUGAUACACAGAAGCCAAUAUUAUGGCUUCAAUUUUUACAAAGAGGGGCUGGGUAUGCAGGUCAGUGGCAGAGCUUUUGGCUAGAAAGUGUGAGGCCUGGUUCAACCCCAAGUAGAGCAAGAAAGAAAGAAAGAAAGAAAGAAAGAAAGAAAGAAAGAAAGAAAGAAAGAAAGCAAAGAAAAGAAAGAAGGAAAGAAAGAAAGAAAAAAGAAAGGAAAGAAAAGAAAAGAAAGGAAGAAGGAAAGAAAGAAAGGAAAAAAGAAAGAGAAAGAAAGAAGGGAGGGGCAAGAGAAAGAAAGAGAGGAAAGAAAAAAGAAAAGAAGAGAAAGGAAAGAAAGAAAAUAGAUGUCAGAUAGAUAGAUAGAUAAGCUAGCUUCCUUGUAGGUCAGUGAACAAGGAGGCAGGGGA
rnacentral:lncRNA from 1 species